GUCAGUUUAGCUUAGAGGUUAGAGCAUCGCAUUUCUAAUGCGACGGUCAUCGGUUCGAAUCCGAUAACCGGUU
rnacentral:tRNA from 1 species